GACGAACGCUGGCGGCGUGCUUAACACAUGCAAGUCGAACGGAAAGGCCCUGCUUUUGUGGGGUGCUCGAGUGGCGAACGGGUGAGUAACACGUGAGUAACCUGCCCUUGACUUUGGGAUAACUUCAGGAAACUGGGGCUAAUACCGGAUAGGAGCUCCUGCUGCAUGGUGGGGGUUGGAAAGUUUCGGCGGUUGGGGAUGGACUCGCGGCUUAUCAGCUUGUUGGUGGGGUAGUGGCUUACCAAGGCUUUGACGGGUAGCCGGCCUGAGAGGGUGACCGGCCAAAUUGGGACUGAGGUACGGGCCAGACUCCUUCGGGAGGCAGCAGUGGGGAAUAUUGCACAAUGGGCGGAAGCCUGAUGCAGCAACGCCGCGUGCGGGAUGACGGCCUUCGGGUUGUAAACCGCUUUCGCCUGUGACGAAGCGUGAGUGACGGUAAUGGGUAAAGAAGCACCGGCUAACUACGUG
rnacentral:rRNA from 1 species